rnacentral:misc_RNA from 1 species
GUGCAUGGCGAUCGUCCCACGCCGGAGGCCUACCGGCGUUACCUCCAGGAUGGCCUGGACGAACCCCCGCCCAAUCCCUUCGAUGGAGCCAUCGACGGCUGGUUGCUCGGCAGUCGCGAAUACUGGAAAGCGAUCAAAGCCAAAUUUGGCGAUCCAACCGCUCCAACCAAUUCAGCUCAGUCGCUCCGCCAUUUCCGCUCGCUCGACGCCGCGGAUGUGAUCGCCGCUGUGGCUCGUUACCA